AUUCUUACCUAGCAGGGGAUAGGCCAUGAUCAUGAAGGUGAUUUUCUCAGGGCAAGACUUGUCCUUUGCACCCUGGAUGUGCUAAACCCUGAGAUGUUCCAAGAUAUAGGAAACUCAACUGUGUAAUUUGUGGUAGUGGUAACUCUGUUCAUGCUGUCUCCUA